UUUAAUUAUAUUAUUACUACACUUCAGAUUGCUGGUGUACAGCAGAAACUGUGUCUCUGCUACUUCCGAUUGUUCUCAUGUAAGUGACUUCACUUAAGUGACUUCACUUAACUAGUAGACUACUAAUGUAUGUAUAUCAUUUAGACUGCAUGGAGAUGAAUAUUGCAUAACAGAAAUUAAAUUCAUUGGUAUAGCAGAAAAUAGUGACAGUUUGUCUUGGAAACAUAUGCGGAAAAUCAUUGGAUUUAAGAAAUCACAUAUACGCUAAAUGUGUAGCUGUAAAAAACAUCAUUUGAACUCCUUAGUAAAAGUAUAGAUAUAUUCCGCAUCAACUAAUGAGAGUGCUAUCAUAUGGAGAAAAAUAGUACUAUGAAUUCUUGCCAAAUGAGGAUGCACAAACAGAACAUUAUAUUCGCCUAUAAGAUUGCUCUCUCAGGAAUAACAUAUAGUUGUACUUUUAAUGUCAUUAGUAUGAAACAAUCAU
rnacentral:lncRNA from 1 species